UGCCAGCCGCCGCGGUAAUACGAAGGGGGCGAGCGUUGUUCGGAAUUACUGGGCGUAAAGGGCGCGUAGGCGGUCUUUUAAGUUAGGCGUGAAAGCCCCGGGCUCAACCCGGGAACUGCGCUUAAGACUGGAAGACUAGAAAACGGAAGAGGGUAGUGGAAUUCCCAGUGUAGAGGUGAAAUUCGUAGAUAUUGGGAAGAACACCAGUGGCGAAAGCGGCUACCUGGUCCGAUUUUGACGCUGAGGCGCGAAAGCGUGGGGAGCAAACAGGAUUAGAUA
rnacentral:rRNA from 1 species